rnacentral:rRNA from 1 species
UGGGGAAUAUUGGACAAUGGGCGGAAGCCUGAUCCAGCAACGCCGCGUGAGAGAUGACGGCCUUCGGGUUGUAAACCUCUUUCACCACCGACGAAGCGCAAGUGACGGUAGGUGGGGAAGAAGCACCGGCCAACUACGUGCCAGCAGCCGCGGUAAUACGUAGGGUGCGAGCGUUGUCCGGAAUUAUUGGGCGUAAAGGGCUCGUAGGCGGUUUGUCGCGUCGGGAGUGAAAACCUCGGGCUUAACUCGGGGCUUGCUUUCGAUACGGGCAGACUGGAGGUAUGCAGGGGAGAACGGAAUUCCUGGUGUAGCGGUGAAAUGCGCAGAUAUCAGGAGGAACACCGGUGGCGAAGGCGGUUCUCUGGGCAUGACCUGACGCUGAGGAGCGAAAGUGUGGGGAGCGAACAGGAUUAGAUACCCUGGUAGUCCACACCGUAAACGUUGGGCGCUAGGUGUGGGAUCCAUUCCACGGGUUCCGUGCCGCAGCUAACGCAUUAAGCGCCCCGCCUGGGGAGUACGGCCGCAAGGCUAA